rnacentral:rRNA from 1 species
UACCGGAUGGUUGUUUGAACCGCAUGGUUCAAACAUAAAAGGUGGCUUCGGCUACCACUUACAGAUGGACCCGCGGCGCAUUAGCUAGUUGGUGAGGUAACGGCUCACCAAGGCAACGAUGCGUAGCCGACCUGAGAGGGUGAUCGGCCACACUGGGACUGAGACACGGCCCAGACUCCUACGGGAGGCAGCAGUAGGGAAUCUUCCGCAAUGGACGAAAGUCUGACGGAGCAACGCCGCGUGAGUGAUGAAGGUUUUCGGAUCGUAAAGCUCUGUUGUUAGGGAAGAACAAGUACCGUUGAAUAGGGCGGUACCUUGACGGUACCUAACCAGAAAGCCACGGCUAACUACGUGCCAGCAGCCGCGGUAAUACGUAGGUGGCAAGCGUUGUCCGGAAUUAUUGGGCGUAAAGGGCUCGCAGGCGGUUUCUUAAGUCUGAUGUGAAAGCCCCCGGCUCAACCGGGGAGGGUCAUUGGAAACUGGGGAACUUGAGUGCAGAAGAGGAGAGUGGAAUUCCACGUGUAGCGGUGAAAUGCGUAGAGAUGUGGAGGAACACCAGUGGCGAAGGCGACUCUCUGGUCUGUAACUGACGCUGAGGAGCGAAAGCGUGGGGAGCGAACAGGAUUAGAUACCCUGGUAGUCCACGCCGUAAACGAUGAGUGCUAAGUGUUAGGGGGUUUCCGCCCCUUAGUGCUGCAGCUAACGCAUUAAGCACUCCGCCUGGGGAGUACGGUCGCAAGACUGAAACUCAAAGGAAUUGACGGGGGCCCGCACAAGCGGUGGAGCAUGUGGUUUAAUUCGAAGCAACGCGAAGAACCUUACCAGGUCUUGACAUCCUCUGACAAUCCUAGAGAUAGGACGUCCCCUUCGGGGGCAGAGUGACAGGUGGUGCAUGGUUGUCGUCAGCUCGUGUCGUGAGAUGUUGGGUUAAGUCCCGCAACGAGCGCAACCCUUGAUCUUAGUUGCCAGCAUUCAGUUGGGCACUCUAAGGUGACUGCCGGUGACAAACCGGAGGAAGGUGGGGAUGACGUCAAAUCAUCAUGCCCCUUAUGACCUGGGCUACACACGUGCUACAAUGGACAGAACAAAGGGCAGCGAAACCGCGAGGUUAAACCAAUCCCACAAAUCUGUUCUCAGUUCGGAUCGCAGUCUGCAACUCGACUGCGUGAAGCUGGAAUCGCUAGUAAUC